GAUGAACGCUGGCGGCGUGCCUAAUACAUGCAAGUCGAGCGAACAGACGAGGAGCUUGCUCCUCUGACGUUAGCGGCGGACGGGUGAGUAACACGUGGAUAACCUACCUAUAAGACUGGGAUAACUUCGGGAAACCGGAGCUAAUACCGGAUAAUAUAUUGAACCGCAUGGGUCAAUAGUGAAAGACGGUUUUGCUGUCACUUAUAGAUGGAUCCGCGCCGCAUUAGCUAGUUGGUAAGAUAACGGCUUACCAAGGCAACGAUGCGUAACCGACCUGAGAGGGUGGUCGCCCACACUGGAACUGAGACACGGUCCAGACUCCUACGGGAGGCAGCAGUAGGGAAUCUUCCGCAAAGGGCGAAAGCCUGACGGAGCAACGCCGCGUGAGUGAUGAAGGUCUUCGGAUCGUAAAACUCUGUUAUUAGGGAAGAACAAAUGUGUAAGUAACUAUGCACGUCUUGACGGUACCUAAUCAGAAAGCCACGGCUAACUACGUG
rnacentral:rRNA from 1 species